UACGGAGGAUGCGAGCGUUAUCCGGAUUUAUUGGGUUUAAAGGGUGCGUAGGCGGAAUAUCAAGUCAGCGGUAAAAAUUCAGGGCUCAACCCUGUCGAGCCGUCGGAACUGGCAGUCUUGAGUGGGCGAGAAGUAUGCGGAAUGCGUGGUGUAGCGGUGAAAUGCAUAGAUAUCACGCAGAACGCCGAUUGCGAAGGCAGCAUACCGGCGCCCAACUGACGCUGAGGCACGAAAGCGUGGGGAUCGAACAGG
rnacentral:rRNA from 1 species